CCAUUUUGUGGAUCGAGAAGUACCCGAGCAGAAGCUUCUCCGACGGCGAGCUCCGUUAGCAGCAUAGUUUUCGACAAAAUAGUUAAAAAAAACAACGCUCUUUACCAUGCCGAGGAGCUGCUGCGUCAUCGGUUGUUCUGCCAGCAAAGCAAUGCAGCCGGAGAAGAAAUUUGACACAAAACGUUUUCUUUUAUCGGCUCCUCCGCAAAUAACGAGUUGGAACCAACCCGUUCCGCGCGACACGUGAAGUUAGAAUCGUCGCCAUGGGUUCUUCCUUGCUUUAUGAUGUUCACAGGCCAUUUGAACACGUGGACACACACUUCUGAUGGUGGAUGACAUUUCGCCUGGUUAAGCAAGAAGAGAAACAGGAUGAACCGCCUCAUCUGCUGGCCAUGAUGGACAAAGUCGACAUGCCACUAAGAAGAGCGAUCACUCAUGUUUGCCUGAGGGAAAACAAAUGUUUUAGAAGGCUGCCGGAGUAAAAUGUCUCACGGCAGGACAGUCGACGUUACCUGUGGCAACAAAAUCUGCCAGGACUUGGAUUCAGUGAAGCUGAAAACUCAUUUUGCAUUACUGUAUCAUGGAUAAUCAUUAAAAAAAAUCACAUGACAUUUAAUCAAAAUCUUAUUUAUUACAGAUGAUUUUCAUACUGUAUUUAGAAAAUAUUUCAAUGGGUGGAGAUGAAGGAAAUGCUAAGAAAGAAAAUCACAAAAAUAAGGCAUAAAACUAUGAUGCAGUCUGUCAUCAUGCUUUUGUAAACACGCUAUUAAAACUUAUACCCCACACAUGA